rnacentral:rRNA from 1 species
GUGCCAGCCGCCGCGGUAAUACGGAGGGUGCAAGCGUUGUCCGGAAUCACUGGGCGUAAAGCGCGCGUAGGCGGACUAUUAAGUCAGGGGUGAAAUCCCGGGGCUCAACCCCGGAACUGCCUUUGAUACUGGUAGUCUAGAGUUCGAGAGAGGUGAGUGGAACUCCGAGUGUAGAGGUGAAAUUCGUAGAUAUUCGGAAGAACACCAGUGGCGAAGGCGGCUCACUGGCUCGAUACUGACGCUGAGGUGCGAAAGUGUGGGGAGCAAACAGGAUUAGAUACUCGAGUAGUCC